ACGAGCCGUAGAUACUACAUGGUACGUGGAACUGAUAAUACAAACGUUACUGUUCGUUACCGUGUGGAGAAAAACCAUACGACUCGUCUCCGAAGUUCACAUUUCCGAAUAAAAAUGAAGACCCCCGGACACGAAGCCCCCUUAGCAUCGUGGACAUGUGCAACCUGACUCUGCAGGAGGCAAAUGCAAAUCCCAGGCUGGAUUGAAUGGCACUGAGGAUACAAGACUCAGAGGCAG